rnacentral:rRNA from 1 species
UUGACCUCGGAUCAGGUAGGAAUACCCGCUGAACUUAAGCAUAUCAAUAAGCGGAGGAAAAGAAACCAACAGGGAUUGCCUCAGUAACGGCGAGUGAAGCGGCAACAGCUCAAAUUUGAAAUCUGGCCGCAAGGUCCGAGUUGUAAUUUGUAGAGGAUGCUUUUGGCAAGGUGCCUUCCGAGUUCCCUGGAACGGGACGCCAUAGAGGGUGAGAGCCCCGUACGGUAGGACCACCGAGCCUCUGUAAAGCUCCUUCGACGAGUCGAGUAGUUUGGGAAUGCUGCUCUAAAUGGGAGGUGUACGUCUUCUAAAGCUAAAUACCGGCCAGAGACCGAUAGCGCACAAGUAGAGUGAUCGAAAGAUGAAAAGCACUUUGAAAAGAGGGUUAAAAAGUACGUGAAAUUGUUGAAAGGGAAGCAUUUAUGACCAGACUUGGGCUUGGUUGAACAUCCGGCGUUCUCGCCGGUGCACUCUGCCAGUCCAGGCCAGCAUCAGUUUGCUCCGGGGGAUAAAGGCGGCGGGAAUGUGGCUCUCUCCGGGGAGUGUUAUAGCCCGCCGUGUAAUGCCCUGGGGCGGACUGAGGAACGCG